AAUGGGUCAGCGACUUAUAUUCUGUAGCAAGGUUAACCGAAUAGGGGAGCCGAAGGGAAACCGAGUCUUAACUGGGCGUUAAGUUGCAGGGUAUAGACCCGAAACCCGGUGAUCUAGCCAUGGGCAGGUUGAAGGUUGGGUAACACUAACUGGAGGACCGAACCGACUAAUGUUGAAAAAUUAGCGGAUGACUUGUGGCUGGGGGUGAAAGGCCAAUCAAACCGGGAGAUAGCUGGUUCUCCCCGAAAGCUAUUUAGGUAGCGCCUCGUGAAUUCAUCUCCGGGGGUAGAGCACUGUUUCGGCAAGGGGGUCAUCCCGACUUACCAACCCGAUGCAAACUGCGAAUACCGGAGAAUGUUAUCACGGGAGACACACGGCGGGUGCUAACGUCCGUCGUGAAGAGGGAAACAACCCAGACCGCCAGCUAAGGUCCCAAAGUCAUGGUUAAGUGGGAAACGAUGUGGGAAGGCCCAGACAGCCAGGAUGUUGGCUUAGAAGCAGCCAUCAUUUAAAGAAAGCGUAAUAGCUCACUGGUCGAGUCGGCCUGCGCGGAAGAUGUAACGGGGCUAAACCAUGCACCGAAGCUGCGGCAGCGACACUAUGUGUUGUUGGGUAGGGGAGCGUUCUGUAAGCCUGUGAAGGUGUACUGUGAGGUAUGCUGGAGGUAUCAGAAGUGCGAAUGCUGACAUAAGUAACGAUAAAGCGGGUGAAAAGCCCGCUCGCCGGAAGACCAAGGGUUCCUGUCCAACGUUAAUCGGGGCAGGGUGAGUCGACCCCUAAGGCGAGGCCGAAAGGCGUAGUCGAUGGGAAACAGGUUAAUAUUCCUGUACUUGGUGUUACUGCGAAGGGGGGACGGAGAAG
rnacentral:rRNA from 1 species